rnacentral:lncRNA from 1 species
CGGCAAUUGGCUUUCUUCUCAUUUCAUCACUGUUUGGCGUCCGUACACCUUGGGGCGGAAAAGAAACCAGAGAGGAGACUCAGUAGCUGCUGUAUCUGUUGUAGGACCUUGGAGGCUGGAGGCUUGCGCUUGGGCGUCCAGGCGUCUCUCACUCCCGUCCCCAAGAAAUCUAUGGGGCAGCCAUGCGUCCUGACCAGCGCUUUCUAGAACGCACCUGCUGGGGGGAAACUCGAGGAACGCGCUUAGGAUGGCUGCGAAGAGGAAGGAACUCUGAGACUGGCCCACUUUAUCAAAUAAUCUGGCUUUUUCUAUGUGAAUUAGG